GAUGAACGCUGGCGGCGUGCUUAACACAUGCAAGUCGAACGAUGAAGCCCAGCUUGCUGGGUGGAUUAAUGGCGAACGGGUGAGUAACACGUGAGUAACCUGCCCUUAACUCUGGGAUAAGCCUGGGAAACUGGGUCUAAUACCGGAUAGGAGCGUCCACCGCAUGGUGGGUGUUGGAAAGAUUUAUCGGUUUUGGAUGGACUCGCGGCCUAUCAGCUUGUUGGUGAGGUAAUGGCUCACCAAGGCGACGACGGGUAGCCGGCCUGAGAGGGUGACCGGCCACACUGGGACUGAGACACGGCCCAGACUCCUACGGGAGGCAGCAGUGGGGAAUAUUGCACAAUGGGCGCAAGCCUGAUGCAGCGACGCCGCGUGAGGGAUGACGGCCUUCGGGUUGUAAACCUCUUUCAGUAGGGAAGAAGCGAAAGUGACGGUACCUGCAGAAGAAGCACCGGCUAACUACGUG
rnacentral:rRNA from 1 species